AUGAGUGGUGAACUCUUUCAAAGAAGUAUGGCCAUGAAUCCAAAUUUGAACACAAAAGAAAAUCAGAUCAUUGAGAAGUAUGCUCCAAAUACGUCCUGUGAUUCAGAUCCUGGAGCAGACGUCUCGGCUGAUUUCUGGGACAAAGCCUGUGCAAGUAGUAGUAUUGUGCAUCAUGUUUUAGAAGGAAACCAGUAUGUUCAGGCUGUGUCCAGGUUGCUUCCUGCAACCUCCCCCUGCAAACUCCUGUCUGCCUGCAAACAGGGUAGAAGCUGGAUUUUAGCACAGUUCCAAAUUGCAGUUCAAGGUGAAUGA
rnacentral:lncRNA from 1 species